rnacentral:rRNA from 1 species
UGACGGUACCUUAUCAGAAAGCACCGGCAAACUAUGUGCCAGCAGCCGCGGUAAUACAUAGGGUGCAAGCGUUAUCCGGAAUCAUUGGGCGUAAAGCGUCUGUAGGUGGUCUAUUAAGUCUGAAUUUAAAGCCUGGGGCUCAACCCCAGCCCGGUUCGGAUACUGAUAGACUAGAGUUAUAGAGAGGUAAGUAGAACUCCAUGUGAAGCGGUGGAAUGCGUAGAUAUAUGGAAGAAUACCAAUGGCGAAGGCAACUUACUGGAUAUAUACUGACACUCAGAGACGAAAGCGUGGGUAGCAAACAGGAUUAGAUACCCUGGUAGUCCACGCCGUAAACGCUGAUCGUUAGCCGGUGGAAUUGAUCACUGGCGCAGCUAACGCAUUAAACGAUCCGCCUGAGUAGUAUGCUCGCAAGAGUGAAACUUAAAGGAAUUGACGGGGACCCGCACAAGCGGUGGAGCAUGUGGUUUAAUUUGAAGAUACGCGAAGAACCUUACCCACUUUUGACAUCUUCCGCAACGCUAUGGAGACAUAGUUGAGGUUAACGGAAUGACAGAUGGUGCAUGGUUGUCGUCAGCUCGUGUCGUGAGAUGUUCGGUUAAGUCCGGCAACGAGCGCAACCCCUGUCUUUAGUUACUAACAUUUAGUUGAGGACUCUAGAGAGACUGCCUGGGUAACCAGGAGGAAGGUGGGGACGACGUCAAAUCAUCAUGCCUCUUACAAGUGGGGCUACACACGUGCUACAAUGGGUAAUACAAAGUGACGCUAACCGGCGACGGUACGCAAAUCACAUAAAAUUAUUCUCAGUUCGGAUUGGAGUCUGCAACUCGACUCCAUGAAGUCGGAAUCGCUAGUAAUCGUAGGUCAGCAAUACUACGGUGAAUACGUUCUCGGGUCUUGUACACACCGCCCGUCACACCAUGGGAGCUGGUAAUGCCCGAAGCCGGAUAGAUAACUUCGGAGUCUACUGUCUAAGGCAGGGCCGGUGACUAGGGUGAAGUCGUAACAAGGUAUCCCUACGAGAACGUGGGGAUGGAUCACCU